rnacentral:rRNA from 1 species
CGGAUGAACGCUGGCGGCGUGCUUAACACAUGCAAGUCGAACGAAGCAAUUUAGCGGAAGUUUUUGGAUGGAAGUUAAAUUGACUGAGUGGCGGACGGGUGAGUAACGCGUGGGUAACCUGCCUCACACUGGGGGACAACAGUUAGAAAUGACUGCUAAUACCGCAUAAGCGCACAGGACCGCAUGGUUCGGUGUGAAAAACUCCGGUGGUGUGAGAUGGACCCGCGUUUGAUUAGCUAGUUGGUGGGGUAACGGCCUACCAAGGCGACGAUCAAUAGCCGACCUGAGAGGGUGACCGGCCACCUUGGGACUGAGACCCGGCCCCAACUCCUUCGGGAGGCAGCAGUGGGGAAUAUUGCCCAAUGGGGGAAACCCUGAUGCAGCGACGCCGCGUGAGUGAAGAAGUAUUUCGGUAUGUAAAGCUUUAUCAGCAGGGAAGAAAAUGACGGUACCAGGCUAAGAAGCCCCGGCUAACUACGUG